ensembl:lincRNA
GACAGUGCUUACAAGUGAGAAGCAAGAGGGAAGUAAUCACAACCAGUGCAGCAGUUUGUUUAUUCAUUCACUUUCUGAAACUGGAGCUGGCUGGCUGGCAGAAUUUAAUCAGAAGAUUGUGUAACCAUGGCAAGAAGCUGCCCAAAUCCAUAACUAUAAUGAGAGAGUGGGAGACAGGAGAAUUGGAUUAAAAGGCAGCUUGCUUUGCAAAGAAGGAAACUUCAACUUUUCCUCCCUUUCACCUCUUAUUAUCCACCUAUGAGAAGAAGGAUGAAAACCAAAGGUAAAACUGUGAAGUGAGGUCAGCUCUGAGUGACCCCAGGGAAUUUCUAAAGUGAUGGGGUUAAUUAGACAUGUGGAAGUAUAUCCUGUUUGGUAGGGUCUCUAUAAAAAGAGAUGGGUAUUACUAUUCAUCCAUCUCUCCAUCCCUCUACCUACCAUCAAUUCAACAAUUCUAACAAUCAAGUCAACAUGUUUGUCUCUAACUUCUCUACCCUCUAAUCCAUGACAGACCUAUCUUCCUCCCCCAAACCCACCAUCCAAGCUUCAGCAACAUCAGUCCAACUAGGAGAAAACUUAAGUGUGACCUACAUGGUUCUGGGUGAGCCAGAGAUUGCUGUGGACUUUAGCUGGGGAUAUCCAGGGCAGAAGAGUAACCCAACUGAGCAAGAAAAGUGA